rnacentral:pre_miRNA from 1 species
AACAUUCAACGCUGUCGGUGAGUUUGACAUGUCAGGAUAAACCAUCGACCGUUGACUGUACC